UUUAAAUUUUCAGAACCCUUAUCAAAAUUCAAACUGUCAAUCAUUUGAAAAAAAGGAACAAAAUUGCAGUUGCCAUAUCAAUGCAAGAAAUACUUUGCAUACUCAAACUGAAGAAGUACCAAUUCACUCUACUUUUUCUCAGACAGG